UCCAUAUUACAAUAGCCUUCUUUGCAAGUUUCUAGUCUCCAAAACAUUGAGGAUCCAGAGGUGUAUCGCCUAGUAUACAAAAAUUAGGAACAGUUGUAAUGUUAGUUUUAAAGGGGUUGUACACUUUUGUGUGUGUUGGAGGGGGGGGGGGGGGGGGUUGUUUCGUUGGUGCUCCGCUCCUUCUCUCCCUAUCCUCAGCUGCUCCAUUGCACCUCCUGGAAGUAAACAUACAUUUUGACACCGCUGCCAGUCGCAGUGGUGACCUUCUCCUCUUGUAUGACGUGGGCAUUUGACUCCUGCAGCCAGCGAUUGGCUUCAGCGGUGUCAAAACGGAAGUUUACAUCCUGCGAGCGCAGCGGAGCAGCCAAGGCUGGGGAGAGAAGAAGCCGGAAGCCAGCAUCAGGAAGCAGGUAAGUUUGCUUCCCUUUGCAGGUCUGCCCAAGGUGGGGGGUUGCUUUGUUAGGCCCCCUCCCCAAAGGAGCACAACCCCUUUGCAAGAAAAAGUGAACCCUUUGUAAUGACCUGGAUUUCUGCAUUGAUUACCAAGAAAAUGAGGUCUGUUAUCUAAGUCACAAUUAUAGACAAAUGCAAUCUAACUAAACCAAUAACAUACCACAGUUGUACUGUUCAUGUCCUUUAUUGAGCACACUGAGUAAACCUCCACAGUGCAGGGAAAAAAAGUGUCCUUGAACAUAGGACCAGUAUCUUACAUAUUCAGUUUUGGGCAACAUCAAAUAAGAUUCAUUAAAUAGGUUGUCCAGGUAAUAUUGAUGACCUGUCAACAGGAUAGGUCAUCAAUAUCUGAUCAGAGGGGUCUGACACCCUCACUAAUCAGCUGUUUAAAGAGGAGGCAACGCUCCAAGCGAGCACCACUUCCUCUUCACUACACGGCACUUUGUCUCAGAAGUGCAAUGGAAUACAAGUGCCCGCUCCAUUCAAGUGAAUGAAGUGAAUACUUGUAAUUAAACUGCACUGCUUCUUUACUCAAGA